UACGUAGGGUCCGAGCGUUGUCCGGAAUUAUUGGGCGUAAAGGGCUCGUAGGCGGUUUGUUGCGUCGGGAGUGAAACUUACACGCUUAACUGUGAGCGUGCUUCCGAUACGGGCAGACUUGAGGUAUUCAGGGGAGAACGGAAUUCCUGGUGUAGCGGUGAAAUGACGCAGAUAUCAGGAGGAACACCGAUGGCGAAGGCAGGUCUCUGGGCUGUAACUGACGUGAGGAGCGAAAGCAUGGGGAGCGAACAGG
rnacentral:rRNA from 1 species